AGAGUUUGAUCCUGGCUCAGAUUGAACGCUGGCGGCAGGCCUAACACAUGCAAGUCGAGCGGGGUUUUCGGACCUAGCGGCGGACGGGUGAGUAAUGCGUAGGAAGCUACCCGAUAGAGGGGGAUACCAGUUGGAAACGACUGUUAAUACCGCAUAAUGUCUACGGACCAAAGUGUGGGACCUUCGGGCCACAUGCUAUCGGAUGCGCCUACGUGGGAUUAGCUAGUUGGUGGGGUAAUGGCUCACCAAGGCGACGAUCCCUAGCUGGUUUGAGAGGAUGAUCAGCCACACUGGAACUGAGACACGGUCCAGACUCCUACGGGAGGCAGCAGUGGGGAAUAUUGGACAAUGGGCGCAAGCCUGAUCCAGCCAUGCCGCGUGUGUGAAGAAGGCCUUCGGGUUGUAAAGCACUUUCAGCGAGGAGGAAGGGAGUUGUGUUAAUAGCACAGCUUCUUGACGUUACUCGCAGAAGAAGCACCGGCUAACUCUGUGCCAGCAGCCGCGGUAAUACAGAGGGUGCAAGCGUUAAUCGGAAUUACUGGGCGUAAAGCGCACGUAGGCGGUUUUUUAAGUCAGAUGUGAAAGCCCCGGGCUNCACCUGGGAAUUGCAUUUGAAACUGGAAAACUAGAGUGUGUGAG
rnacentral:rRNA from 1 species